GACACUUCCGGUAUUACAUUGGCGGGAUAACACAAACGAGGUCCUUCUCGGAUAACGCGACGUGUUUGAUUCAAAGCCAAGCGGAUCUACGAUUUUCACACCCAAGAUGCAGCUCCACAUCACGCAGCACAGAGUGGGCAGCUUUUGAAUUCACGGCGGUCUGUUGGUCGCUCCAUUUUAAAUGAUGAAGAAUGAGGGGGUGCCAACAUGCCUAUGAGUACGAGACCGACACGAAGACAAAGACACAUGGAAAGUUUAUCCACCUGAAUGGGAGAGCAGCAAAACUAGGACAUUUUAGACAGAUGCCAGUACAAACUUGCUGAGCUUCAAACAAAGCCCUGCAGAAUGGAUGGCUACAUUGCAGAGUGCCCAGUGGGAAAUGCAGCCUGAGGCAGCCUCCAAGAGGCACCAACAACUAUUUUUUUUUACAAAUGAA